rnacentral:rRNA from 1 species
GGUGAGUAACGCGUGAGUAACCUGCCUUCAAGAGGGGGAUAACAUUCUGAAAAGAAUGCUAAUACCGCAUGACAUAUCGGAAUCACAUGGUUCUGAUAUCAAAGAUUUUAUCGCUUGAAGAUGGACUCGUGUCCGAUUAGUUAGUUGGUGAGGUAACGGCUCACCAAGACCGCGAUCGGUAGCCGGACUGAGAGGUUGAACGGCCACAUUGGGACUGAGAGACGGCCCAAACUCCUACGGGAGGCAGCAUG